GCCAACGUAGCUCAGCUGGCAGAGCAACUGAUUCGUAAUCAGUAGGUCGGCGGUUCGAAUCCGCCCGUUGGCUCCA
rnacentral:tRNA from 1 species